CAUGAUUUGCAGUUUCUAACAUGUUUUUUCUUAUUCCAUUCUUUUUGAAGUAGUCGUAAGUAUAUAUGUUAGUGUCUCUGCAUACACGAAUCUUGAUCAUGGGCGGACUCAAUUAUGCUUGAGUACAACUUAUAUCAAUAGAUAGAAAAUCCACAUAUUUGCAUCAGGCACAGAAUUUGCCUGUCUACUUUCUUUUUCAUUAUCUUAUCUAAUUAGCCUGAUCAUGCUACAGCUCAUCAAGAAUGGUUUUACUAAAAGGAUUUGAUGAGAAUGGAUUUGUCUGGUUAGUACAUUCUCUCCCUUUUCUGCUGAGAAAUGGGGUGUGCAACCUGAUGUUACUUGUUUAAAUUGUAAAAUGCAGGUUCACCAACUACGAAAGUAAGAAGGGUUCUGAUUUAUCAGAAAAUCCUAGUGCAGCACUUCUUUUUUACUGGGAAAGUUUGAACCGUCAGGUGUGUGUUUCCAUCUUCUUUAACCUCCUUGUGUGUCUUAGGCUUUUAGUUAAUACUUUCAAUAUCAAUAUAUGAGGUGCACUGUAGUAAAAUAUCUGGCCUACAAAGCCAGUUGGCCAACCACUGAUACACAAGAAUUAGUAAUUUGGUCGAUCAAGAUCUUUUAGUAGUACUAAUGUCCACUGUACCUAACCAGGUAAGAAUUGAAGGACAAGUGGAGAGAAUACCUGAGUCAGAAUCCGAGAAUUACUUUCAUAGUCGUCCUAGAGGAAGUCAGAUUGGAGCUAUUGUCAGCAAGCAGGUGCCUUGUGAUCUGUUACAGUAUUCAAAAUAUUUCAUAUGAUGUUAGGAAUUUGCUUUGGACCCUUACCCUUCAACUUUUGGUUGUUAUCAGAGUUCUGUUGUACCUGGCAGGCAUGUUCUAUACGAUGAGUAUGAAGAACUGACAAAAAAAUAUUCAGGCGGGUGAGUUGUAAAAUCUUCGAACUCUUAAAAGCAUUUGUUUUGAUUCGAUGCCCUUGAUUGAUGACUAAGACCUUGUUUCUGGCUU
rnacentral:lncRNA from 1 species